rnacentral:rRNA from 1 species
UGCAUCGGAACGCGUCCUGUAAUGGGGGAUAACCUGGCGAAAGUCAGGCUAAUACCGCAUACGUCCUGAGGGAGAAAGCGGGGGAUUGGCAAACGACCUCGUGUUAUAGGAGCGGCCGAUGUCGGAUUAGCUAGUUGGUGGGGUAAAGGCCUACCAAGGCGACGAUCCGUAGCGGGUCUGAGAGGACGGCCCGCCACACUGGGACUGAGACACGGCCCAG